UAAUACGGAGGGGGCUAGCGUUGUUCGGAAUUACUGGGCGUAAAGCGCGCGUAGGCGGCCUGCCAAGUCGGUCGUGAAAGCCCGGGGCUCAACCCCGGAGGUGCGUCCGAUACUGGCGGGCUCGAGACCGGGAGAGGAGAGUGGAAUUCCCAGUGUAGAGGUGAAAUUCGUAGAUAUUGGGAAGAACACCAGUGGCGAAGGCGGCUCUCUGGCCCGGCCCUGACGCUGAGGCGCGAAAGCGUGGGGAGCAAACAGGAUUAGAUACCCUGGUAGUCCACGCCGUAAACGAUGAGUGCUAGACGUCGGGGGGCAUGCCCUUCGGUGUCGCAGCUAACGCAUUAAGCACUCCGCCUGGGGAGUACGGUCGCAAGAUUA
rnacentral:rRNA from 1 species